GAGGUGAAAGACCGAUAAAUUUGGUUACAACUCGGAUCCAGCACAUGCGGAAUGCAAUCCGACAGUUACCAAACUCCGAUUGAUACCAUACAGAUGUAAUCGCUUUCCUAUUCUGUAAACCCCUGCUAUACGUAUACGGUCUACAUAUACCCCUAGUAGAUGUAUUCCAGAAUUCUUUUUUCCUACCAUUUAAGCUCCUUCACUAGGCUUGGUUUUGAAUAUUGGUACUACGAAAAGUCCCAAUCCUACCGACAUGGAUAGGUCUUGAUUGAGAGCCCAACAUAAGAGAAGAUAAAACUCGCUACUUUCCAUGCUAAAAGGUGUUUUGAGUUUAAAUUUUUGACUUUUGACCAAGUUUAUAAAAUAUAGUAGAAUUUUUAACACCAAACAAAUUUACUAUAAAAUAAUUAAAUGAUGGGUUUCAUAAAACUAAUUUGGUGUCAUAAAUAUUGUUGUAUUUUUUUCUAUAAAGUUGGUCAAACGUAGAUGUCUUGACUUCGUGUGACACUAAAGAAAAAAUUAAAGUGACAUGUAAUAUGAACUGAGCGAGUGUAUAGAUGGGCACCUAUAUUCAUUGAAAAAAAUAUCCCACUAUGUCCUUCCGUUAACGGGCUACCAUUGCAUCUAAAAUCUAAAUGCAGCCUCGCAAUCUUAAACCAUCGUUGUUGUGAGGGUAUUCAAUUGUCGAUUAGUCUAAUGCAACAAAUAUUUUUAGAGGAUUUAGCCUACACGUAAAAAUAGAACAUCUAAAAUCUAUCAAAUACAAGAGAAAACCCUAAUGUAGAAUUUAGUGCUAUGAUGCAGAGAGUCAUGAUCAAUAUUAUGUGAUGAACAAUUGGCUUGCAAAUUGAUUUCUUUAAAAUAAAUUGGCUUUGAAAUAUGUCAUGUUGUUGGUGUGAGCGUGUAUCAUGUCACACUGCGAUAUUUAUUUUGAAACGGUUAGUUUGUCUAUCUGUAUAUAGCUAACUAACUAGAGAUCAAUCUUACUCAAUGGCGAGGAUUGGUACUAUGUUCAAGAAGGAACCAAGGUAUAGUAGGAUUGGGAUGCUAUCAUGACUCCGCAAACCAUUUUUACAGGCAGGCAAAACACAUCUUUACAUACAAGGAUGGGAGCCGACUGGAAUAGAUAACCUCCGAGAUGGAGCACCGUCGCAGGUUGCUCAACAAAUGCAUGUGAAAAUAGUCUUCGCAGAUGACUUCAGGGACAAAUUACUUACUCCAUCCGUUUCAUAACGUACUUGCAAUGUGUGACCAUUUGUCUUAUUCAAAAAAUUAUAGAAAUAUUAUUUAUUUUUCUUAUGACUUACUUUAUUAUCAAAAUAACUUUAAGAACGACUUGUCAUUUUUUAUAUUUUUACUAAAUUUUUGAAUAAGACGAAUGGUCAAACGUUAGAACCAAAAAAGUCGAACAUCUUACAUUAUGAAAUAGAGGUAGUACUAAUUUAAUAUUGCUUUCGCACACAACCCACUACUAGCGCAGGGUGAUCACACUCUCUGCAGACGGAUGAGAAGUAAGUUGCGUACAACCUACUUUUUGGUCCACUCGAAAGAAGGAUUUUUGUCCUAGUGCAUGUGACAUGGUUGAACUAGAGUUAGGGACCUUGGAUAUCUAAAUCGAUCAAUGGUGGAAUAUAGACUCCGCUCAGGGAGGAGCUAAGGACCAGACAAUGCAAGGUGACAGUGUUAAAUAGAAGGUGACACAUGGAGCAUACAUAUCACGUGGGAAUAGAAUUGUAAUGGACUUGACAUGUUUUAUGUGUAAGAACCAAAAAUAUAAUGAAGAAAUUUGAAGGAAAAAAUUGAACUGUCGUAAUAGUUAUGCUGUCAUAGUAAUUGCACUGCUGCAUAUGUUGAUUUCUAUUUUUGUUAUUUUGAUAAAUUGUAAUAGGUUUGGAAAUAUAAAGAUUAAGUCCUAGUGGGACUAGGAGUCCUACUCCUUGUUUAUUUUGUAGUUUAUUAUAUACAAAUAAAAGAGGAGCUAAGGCCAUUGGGAAUAAAUUUUGCAGUAGAGAAAAAUUAAGGUUUAAGAGAGUGCUCUGUAGGUAAAUUUUAAAGAUAUUUUGAAAUUAAGGUUUAAGUUAAUCAAGUCAUUUUCUCUUGAUCUUGAGUAGUUUGACUGGCAACAUAAGAGUAAUCAAUAUUGCUAAGUUAGUCCAUCUGUCAACGGUCUAGAUCGGUAGUAAUACUAUAGGGGUGGCUACCGAGGCACAAAGAUCAAUGGUUGGAUAUAAACAAGGGGUUACCUAGGAGAAACAGUUUUUAGCACGUGGGUGUAUAUACACCCGUGUGCUUGCAUGCCAUCUAAAUAGUUAUAAAAAAAUAUGACAAAAUUUGACAAGAUAGAUUAAUACGAGUUAU
rnacentral:lncRNA from 1 species